GCUGGGCAUGGUGGCUCAUGCCUGUAAUCCCAGCACUUUGGGAGGCCGAGGCGGGUGGAUCACCUGAGGUCAGGAGUUCGAGACCAGCCUGGCCAACAUGGUGAAACCCCGUCUCUA
rnacentral:SRP_RNA from 1 species